UUUUAUAUAAAAAUUUUGCACCUUCAGUUAACACAUUCUGUAUCUACAGUUAACAAUUUCUAUACAUGUAAAUUAAAUAACUUGAUAAUUGCUGACAC